rnacentral:rRNA from 1 species
GACGAACGCUGGCGGCGUGCCUAAUACAUGCAAGUCGAGCGCAGGAAACUGACGGAACUCUUCGGAGGGAAGGCAGUGGAAUGAGCGGCGGACGGGUGAGUAACACGUAAGGAACCUGCCUCAAGGAUUGGGAUAACUCCGAGAAAUCGGAGCUAAUACCGGAUAGUUCAACGGACCGCAUGGUCCGCUGAUGAAAGGCGCUCCGGCGUCACCUUGAGAUGGCCCUGCGGUGCAUUAGCUAGUUGGUGGGGUAACGGCCCACCAAGGCGACGAUGGAUAGCCGACCUGAGGGGGUGAUCGGCCACACUGGGACUGAGACACGGCCCAGACUCCUACGGGAGGCAGCAGUAGGGAAUCUUCCACAAUGGACGAAAGUCUGAUGGAGCAACGCCGCGUGAGUGAUGAAGGUUUUCGGAUCGUAAAACUCUGUUGUAAGGGAAGAACACGUACGAGAGGAAAUGCUCGUACCUCGACGGUACCUUACGAGAAAGCCACGGCUAACUACGUGCCAGCAGCCGCGGUAACAC